GAUGAACGCUGGCGGCGUGCCUAAUACAUGCAAGUCGAGCGAACAGAUAAGGAGCUUGCUCCUUUGACGUUAGCGGCGGACGGGUGAGUAACACGUGGGUAACCUACCUAUAAGACUGGGAUAACUUCGGGAAACCGGAGCUAAUACCGGAUAAUAUUUCGAACCGCAUGGUUCGAUAGUGAAAGAUGGUUUUGCUAUCACUUAUAGAUGGACCCGCGCCGUAUUAGCUAGUUGGUAAGGUAACGGCUUACCAAGGCGACGAUACGUAGCCGACCUGAGAGGGUGAUCGGCCACACUGGAACUGAGACACGGUCCAGACUCCUACGGGAGGCAGCAGUAGGGAAUCUUCCGCAAUAGGCGAAAGCCUGACGGAGCAACGCCGCGUGAGUGAUGAAGGUCUUCGGAUCGUAAAACUCUGUUAUUAGGGAAGAACAUACGUGUAAGUAACUGUGCACGUCUUGACGGUACCUAAUCAGAAAGCCACGGCUAACUACGUG
rnacentral:rRNA from 1 species